rnacentral:sRNA from 1 species
CGCUAUACUACCCGUUGAAAUUGCUGGCCCAACCUCCACGGACUGGCAGUCAAAACGU